rnacentral:hammerhead_ribozyme from 1 species
GUACUGCUGAAGAGCCCCAAAAUAGAACGAAACUGCUGUCCAGUAC